rnacentral:rRNA from 1 species
CCCUUAGAUGUUCUGGGCUGCACGCGCGCUACACUGAAGCUAUCAACACGUUUUCCCUCCCUGAGAAGGGCGGGUAACCUUUUGAAUCAGCUUCGUGGUAGGGACCGGGGCUUGCAAUUGUUCCCCGUGAACCAGGAAUUCCUAGUAGACGCGAGUCAUAAGCUCGCAUCGAUUAAGUCCCUGCCCUUUGUACACACCGCCCGUCGCUACUACCGAUUGAACGUUUUAGUGAGGCAUUUGGACCGACGCAUCUCAGUUUAACCGCUGGUUUGUGUUGGAAAGACUUCCAAACUUGAGCGUUUAGAGGAAGUAAAAGUCGUAACA